rnacentral:rRNA from 1 species
UACGGAGGGGGCUAGCGUUGUUCGGAAUUACUGGGCGUAAAGCGCACGUAGGCGGCUUUGUAAGUUAGAGGUGAAAGCCCAGGGCUCAACCCUGGAAUUGCCUUUAAGACUGCAUCGCUUGAACAUCGGAGAGGUAAGUGGAAUUCCGAGUGUAGAGGUGAAAUUCGUAGAUAUUCGGAAGAACACCAGUGGCGAAGGCG